rnacentral:rRNA from 1 species
CCUACGGGUGGCAGCAGUGGGGAAUAUUGGUCAAUGGGCGAAAGCCUGAUCCAGCCAUGCCGCGUGUGUGAAGAAGGCCUUCGGGUUGUAAAGCACUUUCAGUGGGGAAGAAAGCCUUGGGGCUAAUACCCUCGAGGAAGGACAUCACCCACAGAAGAAGCACCGGCUAACUCCGUGCCAGCAGCCGUGGUAAUACGGAGGGUGCGAGCGUUAAUCGGAAUUACUGGGCGUAAAGCGCGCGUAGGCGGUCUGAUAAGCCGGUUGUGAAAGCCCCGGGCUCAACCUGGGAACGGCAUCCGGAACUGUCAGGCUAGAGUGCAGGAGAGGAAGGUAGAAUUCCCGGUGUAGCGGUGAAAUGCGUAGAGAUCGGGAGGAAUACCAGUGGCGAAGGCGGCCUUCUGGACUGACACUGACGCUGAGGUGCGAAAGCGUGGGUAGCAAACAGGAUUAGAUACCCUUGUAGUC